UACAGAGGGUGCAAGCGUUAAUCGGAUUUACUGGGCGUAAAGCGCGCGUAGGCGGCUAAUUAAGUCAAAUGUGAAAUCCCCGAGCUUAACUUGGGAAUUGCAUUCGAUACUGGUUAGCUAGAGUGUGGGAGAGGAUGGUAGAAUUCCAGGUGUAGCGGUGAAAUGCGUAGAGAUCUGGAGGAAUACCGAUGGCGAAGGCGGCGAUCUGGCCCAACAUUGACACUGAGACCCGAAAGCGUGGGGAUCAAACAGG
rnacentral:rRNA from 1 species